GAAGUAGCUCAGUCGGUUAGAGCGGCGGCCUUAUAAGCCGUGUCUGUCGCUGGUUCAAGUCCAGCCUUCA
rnacentral:tRNA from 1 species